GAUGAACGCUAGCGACAGGCUUAACACAUGCAAGUCGAGGGGCGGCAUGAACUUAGCUUGCUAAGUUUGAUGGCGACCGGCGGACGGGUGAGUAACGCGUGGAUAACCUGCCUCAUACAGGGGGAUAACAGUUAGAAAUGACUGCUAGUACCGCAUAAGACCACAGCACCGCAUGGUGCAGGGGUAAAAACUCCGGUGGUAUGAGACGGAUCCGCGUCUGAUUAGCUAGUUGGUGAGGUAACGGCUCACCAAGGCGACGAUCAGUAGCCGACCUGAGAGGGUGAACGGCCACAUUGGGACUGAGACACGGCCCAA
rnacentral:rRNA from 1 species